GAUGAACGCUAGCGAUAGGCUUAACACAUGCAAGUCGAGGGGCAGCAUGAUCUUAGCUUGCUAAGGUCGAUGGCGACCGGCGCACGGGUGCGUAACGCGUAUGCAACUUGCCUUACAGAGGGGGAUAACCCGUUGAAAGACGGACUAAAACCGCAUACACUUGUAUUAUUGCAUGAUAUUACAAGGAAAUAUUUAUAGCUGUAAGAUAGGCAUGCGUCCCAUUAGCUGGUUGGUGAGGUAACGGCUCACCAAGGCGACGAUGGGUAGGGGAACUGAGAGGUUUAUCCCCCACACUGGUACUGAGACACGGACCAGACUCCUACGGGAGGCAGCAGUGAGGAAUAUUGGUCAAUGGGCGAGAGCCUGAACCAGCCAAGUCGCGUGAAGGAAGACAGUCCUAAGGAUUGUAAACUUCUUUUAUACGGGAAUAAACGGGCGAUACGAGUA
rnacentral:rRNA from 1 species